UGGCGAACGGGUGAGUAACACGUGGGCAAUCUGCCCUGCACUCUGGGACAAGCCCUGGAAACGGGGUCUAAUACCGGAUAUGACCUGCCAAGGCAUCUUGGUGGGUGGAAAGCUCCGGCGGUGCAGGAUGAGCCCGCGGCCUAUCAGCUUGUUGGUGGGGUGAUGGCCUACCAAGGCGACGACGGGUAGCCGGCCUGAGAGGGCGACCGGCCACACUGGGACUGAGACACGGCCCAGACUCCUACGGGAGGCAGCAGUGGGGAAUAUUGCACAAUGGGCGAAAGCCUGAUGCAGCGACGCCGCGUGAGGGAUGACGGCCUUCGGGUUGUAAACCUCUUUCAGCAGGGAAGAAGCGCAAGUGACGGUACCUGCAGAAGAAGCACCGGCUAACUACGUGCCAGCAGCCGCGGUAAUACGUAGGGUGCGAGCGUUGUCCGGAAUUAUUGGGCGUAAAGAGCUCGUAGGCGGCUUGUCGCGUCGGAUGUGAAAGCCCGGGGCUUAACCCCGGGUCUGCAUUCGAUACGGGCAGGCUAGAGUUCGGUAGGGGAGAUCGGAAUUCCUGGUGUAGCGGUGAAAUGCGCAGAUAUCACGAGGAACACCGGGGGGAAGCGGAUCUCUGGGCCGAUACUGACGCUGAGGAG
rnacentral:rRNA from 1 species